rnacentral:rRNA from 1 species
AGAGUUUGAUCCUGGCUCAGAACGAACGCUGGCGGCGUGGAUAAGACAUGCAAGUCGAGCGAGAUUUUUCGUUGUAGCAAUACGAUGGAAAGUCUAGCGGCGAACGGGUGCUUAACACGUGGGCAACCUGCCAUGAAGUGGGGGAUAGCUCGCCGAAAGGCGAAUUAAUACCGCAUGUGAUUAGAGAGGACAUCCUUUCAAAAUUAAAGUCGGGGCAACCUGACGCUUCUUGUGGGGCCCGCGGCCUAUCAGCUAGUUGGUGAGGUAACGGCUCACCAAGGCUUUGACGGGUAGCUGGUCUGAGAGGACGACCAGCCACACUGGGACUGAGACACGGCCCAGACACCUACGGGUGGCAGCAGUCGAGAAUUUUUGACAAUGGGGGAAACCCUGAUCGAGCGACGCCGCGUGGAGGAUGAAGGUCUUCGGAUUGUAAACUC